rnacentral:rRNA from 1 species
UGAGUAACACGUAUCCAACCUGCCGUCUACUCUUGGCCAGCCUUCUGAAAGGAAGAUUAAUCCAGGAUGGCAUCAUGAGUUCACAUGUCCGCAUGAUUAAAGGUAUUUUCCGGUAGACGAUGGGGAUGCGUUCCAUUAGAUAGUAGGCGGGGUAACGGCCCGCCUAGUCAACGAUGGAUAGGGGUUCUGAGAGGAAGGUCCCCCACAUUGGAACUGAGACACGGUCCAA